rnacentral:rRNA from 1 species
GGGGAAUAUUGCACAAUGGGCGCAAGCCUGAUGCAGCCAUGCCGCGUGUGUGAAGAAGGCCUUCGGGUUGUAAAGCACUUUCAGCGGGGAGGAAGGCGAUAAGGUUAAUAACCUUAGCGAUUGACGUUACUCGCAGAAGAAGCACCGGCUAACUCCGUGCCAGCAGCCGCGGUAAUACGGAGGGUGCAAGCGUUAAUCGGAAUUACUGGGCGUAAAGCGCACGCAGGCGGUCUGUCAAGUCGGAUGUGAAAUCCCCGGGCUCAGCCUGGGAACUGCAUUCGAAACUGGCAGGCUAGAGUCUUGUAGAGGGGGGUAGAAUUCCAGGUGUAGCGGUGAAAUGCGUAGAGAUCUGGAGGAAUACCGGUGGCGAAGGCGGCCCCCUGGACAAAGACUGACGCUCAGGUGCGAAAGCGUGGGGAGCAAAC